GUAACAACUCGGUUAUCUCCGGAUCCGAUUGCGAAAUCAAAACAAACAAAGAUUGUGCUGUAAGUCAAGGACAAUCAGUUGAUGCCACCAGAAAGAUUCGGCAACAUGGAUCUAGGAUUUUACAUAAUAAUAUUGCUUUUGAUAUUUCUGAAACUGAUAAUAUGGGUGUGUAUAUUCUACUCGCGUGCCCAGCGACGUCGAAAUUUACUAAGUGCCAGACAACUCGGACUUACCCAGGGAACCACUUCAGGAACUGUUGUCAUGCCAGCAGGGAUGGAACAAGGUUACAUUAUAAAUGGCUUUAACAGCAGAGCAGGCAAUCCAGUGGUUCCAUCUUUUGCACCUCCGACGUACGAAGAGGCCGAACGCAAUAAAACAAUGGAAGAGAAACCGCCGGCAUACGAACAAGUGUUCUCUCACAGUUUGAACAGCCUGCCAACAGGUCCAUGUGUAUAUCCUGCAUAUAACAAUUCUGGAACCUCAGGUCAUAAUUCACAAAGAACAGAAGGGCCUCCAGCACAGCCCUUAGAAGGGCCUCCAGCUUAUUCACCUUAUACAGUUACAACGACCACAGACACAGAAAAUUCCCAAGCACCAAAUUAACACAGUAAACUCUCAGGAUUAAAUCAAGCCUUAAUGGUUGUUUGACCCCCAUAUCUAAAAAUUAUUUAAGUCCAAUCUCAAUCUUAGUCUCAACUCAAUUUACCACAUAACAUCUAAAGUAAGUCAAAUUCUUUUACAGGUUUACUCUUUUAAAAAGCGCAUUCAUUAAUAAAAUAUGUUAUUUUAAUGUUUUAUUAAUAUUCUGAAGCAAAAAUUCAACAGCACAAAAUGUUAUUGAGUGUAACUCAUUGUUUUUGAGCAGUUACUCAUUUUAUUUUUGUUUACAUUUUUUUGCUUUAUAUUUUUUUCUUAUUGAAUAUUCACCAAAUUAUUUAUCAACACAUACUAUGAGAAGAUUAACAUUUAGAAAAAUUAAAAACACAAGUUGUUGAAUCAUUCAAUGCUGUUAUGUGGAGAAAUAAGUCGAUAACGAGCUUGAGAUUUGACUUAAGUAAAGUAUUUUUACAGGGCCAAGGUAUGUGCACCUUACAGGCUUGUGAAAUUGCAUGUCUUGGCUUAGAUUUGAACUAAGUCUUUUGCGAAAUGAUAUUAUAAUCAUAAAUGAACAGAUUAAUUCUAUAUCAAAGAUUUAGGUAAAAUCAUGUUUUCUGUAACAUGUAUUCCUUUGCUCAAGUAUAACAUUACACAACAAUUUAUUUUUAUACUUUUUUAAGUGCUUCAUAAAGGUGUAUGAAACAUUUCUUUGCAAAAAAGAGGUAACAGUUAGAAAUUUUUAAACAUACAAUUAAAUCAAAAGUAAAAUGAUAACAUUUAUAAAUGAGAAGUGUUUCAAACGGUUGCACGUUUGACUGCUUUUAACUUUUGCAAUCUCUGUUCAAAUAAUUUUUAUAUAUAUCUUUUGUUUACAAAUAAUGAUGUUGUUGUGUUUUUUUUUUUUAAAUAUCCGCUUAUUUAUUAAUUUGUUUGUCUUAAAUUUCAUUGAAGCUGCAUUCUUACAAACUGAUUGUUUUGACAACUUUUUUAUUUUCUUAAUUAGCAUUUAUUUGCAUUAAUGACUGUAAUCCAGUAAUAUAAGACAGCUGACAAAAGAUCAGAUCACAGUUUAUCAUAUUUUCAUUUGGCUAAUAAUGUUACUAACGCUUUGAGCUGAGACAAAUAAUAUUAAGUGUCAAAACUGGCGACGUCUGUGAGAGUGUGGCUUUAAAAAGUGUGCAGUGAUUUGUCCCUUUUCUUGCAAUCUAAUUGCAAACACAUGUAGAAAUUCAACCCAUCAUUAUCUGAUUCAUAUAGCCUACUAGUUCAUGGCUCGAAAUUCCUUGUAUUUUUUCUUGUCAAUAGUGUAACUUGGCACACAUUUCUAACCUACUCAUGUCCGUUUGUCAAGGUCACACUUUGGUCAGAAUUCCUUGGUCUUGGUCAGAUAACAGACAAGCACUAACUUUUGCAUUUAAACAUAUAACCCCUGGGGUAUGGCACUUUUAAAUUAUGCCAUCCCCCUACAGAAGCAAAUUUACCCUUUUAAAGUCCAAAUUAGCCAAAAAAGACACCCACCCAUAUACUAUUUAAAUAAUUGCCUUACCCCCGCGGGAGAAUGGUUUCAGCUAAAGAGUUAUAGAAGGGUGUGUGCACCCUGUCCUUUUUUUGGUAGCACCCUUCUGCCCUCCUGGAGACCAACAUUUGCACCCUCCUGCCUUCAUGGAAUUAAAUGCCUAAAUAUUUGAUUAACACUUAUCAUUUACUUUAAUUUAGCUCAAUUCCUUACAUUUACUGUCAAAUUUGUAAGGAUCCAAUUCAUCACAGCCUGACAUAAUGAACCUUUUUCUCCCUUAGUACGCUGUCCCUUUUCUUUAUCUCAUGUAUACAGAAAUCUGAUACUACUGUGAAAUGAUGGUUUCUAUUCAGCAUUAUUAAAACUGUUUAAUCCAAAACAAUAUAGUUUGAUCUCAUAUUACGUUUUUGUAGCUUGUUUGUUUUACAAAGAAAAAAAGUCGAUGUUUGUUUUGUUUUGUUUUCAAAGAAAAAAGUUGAUAAGCCUUGUUGUGGUCUGCAGAAUACUAAACCUUGGCUAUAACUUAAAAAAACUGUUCAAGAUAUUCUAAGAUAUUCAAAUGAAACCUGGUACACAUGAUGUAACUCUGUCAUAAUUAAGUGAGGAGUUAUGCCCCUUUUUCAGCAGAAAGAAGAGCGAAACACAUGUCUAGUUUAUUAAGUAUUUUGUGCAAUCGAGUAACCUAAAAUACACAUUUGCCAACAUUUUUAGUGGUUAUGGGUACAGAUUUUAUAACUGCUUUUUUAAAGUGAUUGAUUGGAUUGUGAUAUUAUUUAUUUAAUCAAAAGAAUGAGUAGAGUAGAGUGAUAGAAAAUAUAAACUGGUAUGGAAUUUUCACUUAAGGUAAAGAUUUUUGCCUUCUUUUUUUAAUAUAUUUAUCAUUUAUUGAAUGUUUGGAUUUGUUCUUCUGGCAUCCUGUAUCAUUUUAUUGUUAUCACAUAUUUUCACUAGUAUUUCAUUUUCACAAUUCCAAAUUCAAAGACAUUAUAUAAAUAUUGAAUGCCUUGAGGGUGACAGUGCAUAUUGUCAACCUGAAGUAAAUACUGUCGACCGAGGCGAAUAAUAUAACAGUGACAAUGUCAUUUAAUGUUACAGUGACAAAAUUUAAUCAAACAUAUUAAUAAAUCAAAAUUGUCAGAGAGUGGCAAUGUAGCAGAGGGUGAUAGUGCGGGGUGGUGGGCGAAAAAAUUACCCUGGCGUUUUUCCUAUAUGUGCUUUAAAAGUUAGGUAUAAUAAUACUAUAAAAGCUGUUUAUUUGUUUCAAAUUACAUGUCACAGUCCGAGUGCUCAUUUCUGAUAUAUUAUUUAUAGAUCUGGUGUACAUGAUUACUAAAUGCUAAUUAUUCAAAAUACAUUCCAUGUCUUGAAUUGCUUUGACUCCUGUUGCUGACUAUUUCAGUGUUUAUAUAUUUUUCUUUUUUUUAUCAUUUUUACGGAAAAGCCAUUUCAAAUUUUUCAUUGAUGUUACAAUUUGAUCCCUUCACUUAAAGGGACUAGACACCCGAAGGUCCUAAAAAUUGGCAAAUACAGUAUUUCCUCAAAACAAGCUUAAAUUUAUCUAUACAAGCUAGUAUGAAGUCCAUAAUAAAUAAUUUUAUAAUUAAUAGAAUAUUUUGUCGCUGUCUCAGCCGAGUUUACCUGUUUAAAAAUAGCGCAUAAUGGUUUCCCAGUUUAUAGUGUGCAUAAUUAGCAUGUGAAAGUCAGCUGAUUAGUUUACCAACAUAAACCAACGCUUCUUUGCAUUAACUUGGAUUUAUGUAGAAUACAAACAUAGACAAUAGAAAUAGAAAAAUACACAAAAACUGUAAAAGAUACAUGUGUCAUAAGCGAUGUGAUAAAUCGGUUAGAUUCAAUGCGUCGCAAACAACAAUAUCAAUUUUAUGUGAGUUUUUGACAAAUAUCUUUUAUUUCUUGCAAUGGUAUCAUCUGGUGUCUAGUCCCUUUAAAAUGAAAAUAGUUCAAGUCCUUGGUCAGAUUUUUUUUGUUUUUUGAAGAAAAAAACAACUUAGGUUUUGUGAUAGUCUUGCUGUUUUUGUUGUUGUCUGAACCUUUCAAGACAUUGAUGUUGCUUUCUUCCUUGUGUACGCUUACAUAUUUAUUUUCUGUGAUGUUAAAUGUUAAUGUGCAUUUGUUGUUUUAUUAGUUUUGUAUUUUUGUUUGUUUCACUGAGUUGUUUCAUUUUUCUCAUCCUAUGGUCGAAAUAAAGUUACAAAAAUA